rnacentral:misc_RNA from 1 species
GUGAAUCAUCGAAUUUUUGAACGCAAAUUGCACUCUCCUCGGAGAGGAGGCCUGUGUGAGGGUCAGCCUAUAAAAAAUCGACAUCGUUGCUGUGUCGCGGUGGCGUUCUUCAUAAAUUGGGGCAUCUGAAAUCCUUUUGAUUGAAGCGACUUAAAAGUAUCGUUUGGUUCCAUGAACGUUGCUAAGAUCUAGGUCUUUACACGUUUAAGGUAUCGAGUUGUACUAGACGUGACCAGCAUAUCGGAGCGCGUCCAUAAGCUUGCAUUAACUGACCGAAGACAGGUAAGA